ACCUCCAUAUAUUUGCAUUCUCUACUGAAAUAAGAUGUCUCCUCAACUCCCUUCUACCUAAUUCUUAUGGUUUAACCAAUCUAUAAAUAACAAUCACAUAUGGAGUUGUUGGACGCUCAUUUUCGUUUUCUCCUCCUUCGUUUUUACCUUAGUUGAAAAUUUUGUUUGAGGCUUUCUGCAAUGUCUAAACACAGUGAAUGAAUUUUUGGGGAAUAAGGCGUUGUCAACCCAAGAUCAUGCUUAUGGCAGUGGAAAAAGACAAGAUAGGAUCUAAGGAAUUUCAUUCUACUUGGUAUGCAUUUGGGCUCUCUAUCAUUUUCAUGUGCUUGCCAAUUGCCACUCAUAUCUAUCGAUUCUUUUAGCUCACUGAUUUUGUUGUUUAAGCUUCAUUAUUUACAUUGUUAUUCUAGACUCUAUUGAAAAGAUUGUCUACAAUUUAACUCACCAACGGGUAGCUCUCUAUUGUAGACAAAAGAGUACGUAUUUCAUGAAGGUUGUAGACAAAUGACGGACCGGAAGUAUUAGGGAUAUGAUAAUAGCGUGCAAAUAUUUAAUGGUUUUUGAUGCCGCUCAGCCAAAAGCAUGUUAUGAACCGAUGAAAAUCUAUCUAUAAUAUAAAGUUAGGCAUUAA